rnacentral:rRNA from 1 species
UACAGAGGUCUCAAGCGUUGUUCGGAUUCAUUGGGCGUAAAGGGUGCGCAGGCGGCGUGGAAAGUUGAGUGUGAAAUCCCGGGGCUUAACCCCGGAACUGCACUCAAUACUCCCAUGCUAGAGGAAUGUAGAGGAGAGUGGAAUUCACGGUGUAGCAGUGAAAUGCGUAGAUAUCGUGAGGAAGACCAGUUGCGAAGGCGACUCUCUGGGCAUUUCCUGACGCUCAUGCACGAAGGCCAGGGGAGCAAACGGGAUUAGAUACCCCGGUAGUCCUGGCAGUAAACGGUGCACGUUUGGUGUGGGCGGGCUCAGACCCCGUCCGUGCCGGAGCUAACGCGUUAAACGUGCCGCCUGGGAAGUACGGUCGCAAGAUUA